rnacentral:lncRNA from 1 species
CCCCGAAUUUGGGAUCAGGAGCCCCAAAUUUAGGAUCAGGAGCCCAAAAUUCAGGACCAAGAGCCCAAAAUUUGGGAUUGGGACCCGAAAAUUCGGGAUCGAGAACCCAAAAUUUGGGAUCAGGAACCCAAAUUCAGGAUUGGGACCCCAAAAUUCGGGAUCAGGACCCCAAAAUUCGGGAUCGGGACCCCCGAAUUGGGGAUCAGGAGCCCCAAAUUUGGGGGAUUUGGGCUGAAAUUUGGGGUCAUUUUGGGCCGAUUUUGGCCAUUUUUGGGGUCAUUUUGGCCACCCAGGUGUCCCCAGGUGUCCCCAGGUGUCCCCAGGUGUCCCCAGGUGUGUCCCAGGUGUAUCCAGGUGUGUCCCAGGUGUGUCCCAGGUGUCCCCAGGUGUCCCCAGGUGUAUCUCAGGUGUCCCCAGGUGUGUUUUGGCUGUCCAAGGUGUCCCCAGGUGUGUCCCAGGUAUGUUUUUGGUGUCCCCAGGUGUGCCCAGGUGUCCCCAGGUGUCCCCAGGUGUCCCCAGGUGUCCCCAGGUGUGUCCCCAAUGUCCCCAGGUGUCCCCAGGUGUGUCCCCAGGUGCCCCCAGGUGUCCCCAGGUGCCCCCAGGUGUCCCCAGGUGACCCCAGGUGACCCCAGGUGAUGUCACCUGACCCCAGGUGACCCCAGGUGACCCCAGGUGACCCCAGGUGUCCCCGCAGUGCCGCUGCCGCCCCCCAAGACGCUGCAGCAGGUGGAGCUGCCACUGCUGAGUCAGCGCCACUGCCAGUGCCUGUACGGGAAACACCUGGGGACACACCUGGGGACAUCGGGGACACACCUGGGGACAUCGGGGACACACCUGGGGACAUCGGGGACACACCUGGACACGCCCCUCGAGGACAUGGGGUUACCUGCCGAGGACACCGUGUGUGCCGGGUACCCCGAGGGACAGCGCGACGCCUGCCAGGUGAGGACACCUGUGACACCGGAGUGACACCUCCUGUGUCACCUGAGUGUCACCUCCUGUGUCACCUGAGUGACACCUGAGUGUCACCUCCUGUGUCACCUGUGACACCUGUGACACCUGAGUGACACCUGAGUGUCACCUCCUGUGUCACCUGUGACACCUGUGUCACCUGAGUGU